UACGUAGGGGGCUAGCGUUGUCCGGAAUCAUUGGGCGUAAAGCGCGCGUAGGCGGCCCGGUAAGUCCGCUGUAAAAGUCAAAGGCUCAACCUUUGAAUGUCAGUGGAUACUGCCGGGCUAGAGUCCGGAAGAGGCGAGUGGAACUCCUGGUGUAGCGGUGGAAUGCGUAGAUAUCAAGAGGAACACCUGAGGUGAAGACGGGGUUGCUGGGCCAACACUGACGCUGAUGCGCGAAAGCCAGGGGAGCAAACAGG
rnacentral:rRNA from 1 species